GAGAUAUAUGGAUACGUAGAGGUCACGUAAACAGAGGGCGCAAUACCCACAUCCUGCCCCAGACCCAUUAACUUGUUAAAGGGCUGACGUGGCCAGCGGGGCACCAAAGCUGACUCCACCCAUGUGAGUGGAAAGUGAAUUUUUAAAUGCCCUAUAAAAUCCCCCGCAAAACACACACCUACAAGGUACAAUGCAGUGCACACACCGGUAAGUUAACAAGAUAAGUCAAGAUUUGAAUGGAAACAAUAUAACUAACGGAACAAAACAGCAAUAAAUUAAAGACAGCACAAUGUGAAGGAAGACCAAAGGUCUUUGGGGAUUGGCUGGUAAAUGCAAUGUGCAAAUAUGUGUGAGUGUGUGUGUGUGUGUGUGUGUGUGUGUGUGUGUGUGUGUGCGUGUGUGUGUGUCACCAUAGAUCAUAGAAUGUAGUGUAAAUUACUUCACCCAUAGGUUUAAACACAAAUGGAGUAGCAAACCUUAAAUUUCAAAACACGGACGUUGCCAUUAUAUUUAACCAGCAGCAAUGAAAAAAACAUAUUUAGCGAGGAAUCAAAUGGAAGCCUUGCCUAUUACCGAUACUCAUACCGUAAUAAUGAAUGAAAUUAAACAGUCACAGUCAAAACAGGACCUGUCAAAACACAUAACAUGGAGAUGAACAAACCGCUGACAUCCUAACCAAACAUAAAACAUCGAAUAAAGUUGUAUUACUAGAAUCAAAUCAAAUGUUUCCCUUUGGCAGUUACUUUUCGCAUUCCCAACAACGCGAGCCACCUACAGGCCGUCAGCGGCACUACAUGCAGGUCGCUCCACUCACAGGCGGUCAGGGCUCGGUGUGCACGGCACGCAUGUGUGUACACAGACGUGUGCAUAAAACCCUGCGUGUUGCCACCGGGCUGGCGUUUCGUUCAUGCCACUCGGAGAGAGGGGCUAAGUUAGCUUUGAUGUUGCGGCGCCGCCCCGCAGAGAGUCCGGAUAAUACAACACAAACAUCAGCCCGCUGAAGAACCCACCAGGCCCAGACCGCGUCUCCCCUUUGUUCUCUGCCAGGUCCCAGGCGAGGAGAGCCAGAGCAAACGCACGCAUAAACACUCCUGUUAUCCAGUUGAAUAUAGUCUUUGGAUAAGGAACGAGGGAGGCCGGGGAACGGAGGAGCCAGGGGAACGGAGAGAGUUCAC
ensembl:lncRNA